CCAGACUCCUACGGGAGGCAGCAGUGGGGAAUAUUGCACAAUGGGGGAAACCCUGAUGCAGCGACGCCGCGUGAGCGAUGAAGUAUUUCGGUAUGUAAAGCUCUAUCAGCAGGGAAGAAAAUGACGGUACCUGAGUAAGAAGCCCCGGCUAACUACGUGCCAGCAGCCGCGGUAAUACGUAGGGGGCAAGCGUUAUCCGGAUUUACUGGGUGUAAAGGGAGCGUAGACGGCAGUGCAAGUCUGGAGUGAAAGGCGGGGGCUCAACCCCCGGACUGCUUUGGAAACUGUGCAGCUAGAGUGCGGGAGAGGUAAGCGGAAUUCCUAGUGUAGCGGUGAGAUGCGUAGAUAUUAGGAGGAACACCAGUGGCGAAGGCGGCUUGCUGGACCGUAACUGACGUUGAGGCUCGAAAGCGUGGGGAGCAAACAGGAUUAGAUACCCCAGUAA
rnacentral:rRNA from 1 species